AACGAACGCUGGCGGCAUGCCUAACACAUGCAAGUCGAACGAGACCUUCGGGUCUAGUGGCGCACGGGUGCGUAACGCGUGGGAACCUGCCCUUAGGUUCGGAAUAACUCCCCGAAAGGGGUGCUAAUACCGGAUAAUGUCUUCGGACCAAAGAUUUAUCGCCUUUGGAUGGGCCCGCGUUGGAUUAGCUAGUUGGUAGGGUAAAAGCCUACCAAGGCGACGAUCCAUAGCUGGUCUGAGAGGAUGAUCAGCCACACUGGGACUGAGACACGGCCCAGACUGCUACGGGAGGCAGCAGUGGGGAAUAUUGGACAAGGGGCGAAAGCCUGAUCCAGCAAUGCCGCGUGAGUGAUGAAGGCCUUAGGGUUGUAAAGCUCUUUUACCCGGGAUGAUAAUGACAGUACCGGGAGAAUAAGCUCCGGCUAACUCCGUG
rnacentral:rRNA from 1 species